rnacentral:rRNA from 1 species
GACGAACGCUGGCGGCGUGCUUAACACAUGCAAGUCGAGCGGAAAGGCCCUUCGGUGUACUCGAGCGGCGAACGGGUGCGUAACACGUGAGUAACCUGCCCCAGACUUUGGGAUAACCCUCGGAAACGGGGGCUAAUACCGGAUACGACACAGCGUCGCAGCGGGUCUGUGUGGAAAGUUGUUCGGUUGGGGAUGGGCUCGCGGCCUAUCAGCUUGUUGGUGGGGUGAUGGCCUACCAAGGCUACGACGGGUAGCCGGCCUGAGAGGGCGACCGGCCACACUGGGACUGAGACACGGCCCAGACUCCUACGGGAGGCAGCAGUGGGGAAUAUUGCACAAUGGGCGGAAGCCUGAUGCAGCGACGCCGCGUGAGGGAUGACGGCCUUCGGGUUGUAAACCUCUUUCGGCAGGGACGAAGCGUAAGUGACGGUACCUGGAGAAGAAGCGCCGGCUAACUACGUG